rnacentral:rRNA from 1 species
AGACGUCUACAUUAGAUACCCCGGUAGUCCCAGCCGUAAACUAUGCGCGUUAGGUGUAUCGGUGACCACGAGUCACCGAGGUGCCGAAGGGAAACCGUGAAACGUGCCGCCUGGGAAGUACGGUCGCAAGGCUGAAACUUAAAGGAAUUGGCGGGGAGCACCACAACGGGUGGAGCCUGCGGUUUAAUUGGACUCAACGCCGGGAAGCUCACCAGAUAAGACAGCGGAAUGAUUGCCGGGCUGAAGACUCUGCAUGACUAGCUG